rnacentral:rRNA from 1 species
UACGUAGGUGACAAGCGUUGUCCGGAUUUACUGGGCGUAAAGAGCGCGCAGGCGGUCGAUCAAGUCGAGUGUGAAAGCCCCCGGCUCAACUGGGGAGGGUCAUUCGAUACUGAUCGACUCGAAGGCAGGAGAGGGUAGUGGAAUUCCCGGUGUAGUGGUGAAAUGCGUAGAUAUCGGGAGGAACACCGAUGGCGAAGGCACUUUACUGGGCUAUUACUAACACUCAGAGACGAAAGCUAGGGUAGCAAAUGGG